rnacentral:rRNA from 1 species
GUGCCAGCAGCCGCGGUAAUACAGAGGUCGCGAGCGUUGUUCGGAUUUACUGGGCGUAAAGGGCGCGUAGGCGGCAUGAUGUGUCGGAUGUGAAAUCUCCGGGCUCAACCCGGAAAGUGCGUCCGAAACUAUCGUGCUCGAGUGCGGAAUGGGGAAUCGGAAUAUAGGGUGUAGCGGUGAAAUGCGUUGAUAUCCUAUAGAACACCGGAGGCGAAGGCGGAUUCCUGGUACGCAACUGACGCUGAGGCGCGAAAGUCGGGGGAGCAAACAGGAUUAGAUACCCUGGUAGUCCCGACCUUAAACGGUGCACACUCGGGGUGGGGGGAUUUCAACCCCCCCGGUCCCUCAGCUAACGCGUUAAGUGUGCCGCCUGGGGAGUACGACCGCAAGGUUAAAACUCAAAGAAAUUGACGGGGGCCCGCACAAGCAGAGGAGCAUGUGGCUUAAUUCGAUGCAACGCGAAGAACCUUACCUGGGUUUGACAUACGGAUGCACGGACCGUGAAAGCGGUCCUCCUUCGAGGGUUCCGUACAGGUGCUGCAUGGCUGUCGUCAGUUCGUGCCGUGAGGUGUUUGGUUAAGUCCCACCAACGAACGCAACCCCUUUGAGCAGUUGCCAGCGGGCGAUGCCGGGAACUCUGCUCACACUGCUGUUUCACGACAGAGGAAGGUGGGGAUGACGUCAAGUCAGUAUGGCCCUUACACCCAGGGCUGCACACGUGCUACAAUGGCCGGUACAGAGGGACGCCAAGCCGCGAGGCGGAGCCAACCCCCCAGAGCCGGCCCCAGUUCAGAUCGGGGUCUGCAACCCGACCCCGUGAAGUCGGAUUUGCUAGUAACGGCGCAUCAGCUACGGCGCCGUGAAUGCGUUCCCGGGCCUUGUACACACCGCCCGU